CAUGCAAGUCGAACGAGAGAGAGGGAGCUUGCUUCCUCAAUCGAGUGGCGAACGGGUGAGUAACGCGUGAGGAACCUGCCUCAAAGAGGGGGACAACAGUUGGAAACGACUGCUAAUACCGCAUAAGCCCACGACCCGGCAUCGGGUAGAGGGAAAAGGAGCAAUCCGCUUUGAGAUGGCCUCGCGUCCGAUUAGCUAGUUGGUGAGGUAAUGGCCCACCAAGGCGACGAUCGGUAGCCGGACUGAGAGGUUGAACGGCCACAUUGGGACUGAGACACGGCCCAGACUCCUACGGGAGGCAGCAGUGGGGAAUAUUGCACAAUGGGGGAAACCCUGAUGCAGCGACGCCGCGUGGAGGAAGAAGGUCUUCGGAUUGUAAACUCCUGUUGUUGAGGAAGAUAAUGACGGUACUCAACAAGGAAGUGACGGCUAACUACGUGCCAGCAGCCGCGGUAAAACGUAGGUCACAAGCGUUGUCCGGAAUUACUGGGUGUAAAGGGAGCGCAGGCGGGAAGACAAGUUGGAAGUGAAAUCCAUGGGCUCAACCCAUGAACUGCUUUCAAAACUGUUUUUCUUGAGUAGUGCAGAGGUAGGCGGAAUUCCCGGUGUAGCGGUGGAAUGCGUAGAUAUCGGGAGGAACACCAGUGGCGAAGGCGGCCUACUGGGCACCAACUGACGCUGAGGCUCGAAAGUGUGGGUAGCAAACAGGAUUAGAUACCCUGGUAGUCCACACUGUAAACGAUGAUUACUAGGUGUUGGAGGAUUGACCCCUUCAGUGCCGCAGUUAACACAAUAAGUAAUCCACCUGGGGAGUACGACCGCAAGGUUGAAACUCAAAGGAAUUGACGGGGGCCCGCACAAGCAGUGGAGUAUGUGGUUUAAUUCGACGCA
rnacentral:rRNA from 1 species